GGGCCCGCACAAGCGGUGGAGUAUGUGGUUUAAUUCGAUGCAACGCGAAGAACCUUACCAGGGCUUGACAUCCUGCGAACCUCUGGGAAACCGGAGGGUGCCUUCGGGAACGCAGUGACAGGUGGUGCAUGGCUGUCGUCAGCUCGUGUCGUGAGAUGUUGGGUUAAGUCCCGCAACGAGCGCAACCCUCACUUUUUAGUUGCCAUCAUUUAGUUGGGCACUCUGAAAGAACUGCCAGUGAUAAGCUGGAGGAAGGUGGGGAUGACGUCAAGUCCUCAUGGCCCUUACGUGUUGGGCUACACACGUGCUACAAUGCUACGGACAAAGAGCAGCUAACUCGCGAGAGUACGCAAAUCUCAUAAACCGUGGCUCAGUUCAGAUCGUAGGCUGCAACUCGCCUACGUGAAGGAGGAAUCGCUAGUAAUCGCAGGUC
rnacentral:rRNA from 1 species